rnacentral:tRNA from 1 species
GCCUGGCUGGCUCAGUCCAUAGAGCGUGUGGCUCUUAUCUCAGGGUCAUGAGUUUAAGCCCCAUGUCAGGCA